rnacentral:rRNA from 1 species
GACGAACGCUGGCGGCGUGCUUAACACAUGCAAGUCGAGCGGAAAGGCCCUUCGGGGUACUCGAGCGGCGAACGGGUGAGUAACACGUGAGUAAUCUGCCCUGCGCUCUGGGAUAGCCACCGGAAACGGUGAUUAAUACCGGAUAGGACCACUUCACGCAUGUGAUGGUGGUGGAAAGUUUUUUCGGCGCAGGAUGUGCUCGCGGCCUAUCAGCUUGUUGGUGAGGUAACGGCUCACUAAGGCUUUGACGGGUAACCGGCCUGAGAGGGUGACCGGUCACACUGGGACUGAGACACGGCCCAGACUCCUACGGGAGGCAGCAGUGGGGAAUAUUGGACAAUGGGCGGAAGCCUGAUCCAGCAACGCCGCGUGAGGGAUGACGGCCUUCGGGUUGUAAACCUCUUUCAGUACCGACGAAGCGCAAGUGACGGUAGGUACAGAAGAAGGACCGGCCAACUACGUGCCAGCAGCCGCGGUAAUACGUAGGGUCCGAGCGUUGUCCGGAAUUAUUGGGCGUAAAGGGCUCGUAGGCGGUUUGUCGCGUCGGGAGUGAAAACACCGGGCUUAACUCGGUGCUUGCUUUCGAUACGGGCAGACUAGAGGUAUGCAGGGGAGAAUGGAAUUCCUGGUGUAGCGGUGAAAUGCGCAGAUAUCAGGAGGAACACCGGUGGCGAAGGCGGUUCUCUGGGCAUUACCUGACGCUGAGGAGCGA